GUAAACCUUCACCUCCGGCAAGCCUUCUCAUACGUAAAAGACCACUAUCACUAUACUCAAAAUGUCCUGAUCUGUUAAAAUCCGGUAUUGACGCGCUGGAAAGUUGCUGGAAAUUCCAUCUCGAUUGACGUGUUCUUGUUGGAACACCUCUCCCUAGGUCAUCCAUAGCCGAUCUUUCAAUUUAUUUGGGGUGCAUGCGCCUUAAAUCCCUCUCCUUCUACCUUUAAUGGAUAUAUUUUUUUUUCUCUCCUCCUUCCCUUGACUGCUGCUACGUUUGUUUUUCACUAUACUGUUUUUUUUUAAUUAAAUGUUCGGCCCUUUUUUUU
rnacentral:misc_RNA from 1 species